rnacentral:lncRNA from 1 species
AGGAGGGACAAUGCAGCAAGAAGACCACACCAACAUGCGUUUACCAUUUCUUCCCAGACAGCUCUGCUAACUAGCUCUUUGUCUGACUGGUCAGAUAUAGACUGUGAGUCUUGAUGCUCUGAAGACAGUGCUGGUAAUGAAGUUGUCUCUGUUGUGCUUUGACUGACUGUUUCUGCCUCCCCCAGCUCUCCUUCAAUCAUGGUAGUGAUACCACGGACAAGAUCCAGUAAACAGUGAAAUGCCACUGACAUAGCAUAGCCUUCAGGAAUUGUAGGUGGUUCUACUUUGUCCAGCAUUUCCAAAUAGGUAGCUUUAGCACUGCCUUGUACUGUUACAUUCAAGAUAGGUAUCCAGGUACCUCUGUAUUCAAAGGCAGGUAAUACAGUUGCACCACCUCCC